rnacentral:lncRNA from 1 species
AAAAAUAAUUUGCCCCAAGUGUAGGGCCUUUUUCCCUUCUUUCUUCUCUUUCUUCGGCAUCGGCCUCCCACAUCACCAGAUGCUUUUCUAUCAUUUUGAACCAUGAAUUCCUGUACAAGGGGUUCAUCAAAGUAUGACAUGCAUUCAAAUUUCUUAUUUGGAAAGAACAGCGUGAUUGGUUUGAUAUCCUCAAAUGUAUUAAAAACUUUUGCCCCAGUAUGGAUUUAUUUCAUGAAAUCUCACAAAUAAAAUUUUGCCCCAGUGUGGGCUCCCUUGAUUGCAAAAAUUUGUUCAGAUGAUUU